GAUGAAAGCUGGCGGCGUGCCUAAUACAUGCAAGUCGAGCGAACACACGAGGAGCUUGCUCCACUGACGUUAGCGGCGGACGGGUGAGUAACACAUGGAUAACCUACCUAUAAGACUGGGAUAACUUCGGGAAAACGGAGCUAAUACCGGAUAAUAUAUUGUACCGCAUGGUUCCAUAGUUAUUGACGGUUUUGCUGUCCCUUAUAGGUGGAUCCGCGCCGCAUUAGCUAGUUGGUAAGGGAACGGCUUACCAAGGCGACGAUUCGUAGCCGACCUGAGAGGGUGAUCGGCCACACUGGAACUGAGACACGGUCCAGACUCCUACGGGAGGCAGCAGUAGGGAAUCUUCCGCAAUGGGCGAAAGCCUGACGGAGCAACGCCGCGUGAGGGAUGAAGGUCUUCGGAUCGUAAAACUCUGUUAUUAGGGAAGAACAAAUGUGUAGUUAACUAUGCACGUCUUGACGGUACCUAAUCAGAAAGCCCCGGCUAACUACGUG
rnacentral:rRNA from 1 species